GGCGGUAUUUUAGUCUAUUCAGAGGAAUCUGUCCUAUAAUUGAUAAUCCACGAUUUAAUUUACUUUUAGAAAAAAUUUAUAUAUCGUCGUAGUUUGAAUAUUUUAAAAGAAUUUUAAUGUUCAAAAUUUUUUUAUGAAAUUAAAUCAGAUCAAGGUGUAGUUUAUAUAAAAGAAGAGAUGGAUUACAUUAAAUUUAUUUAAAGAUUAAUUUUUGUAAAAUUUUAUGAAUAUGGAUUUGAUAGUAAUUUUUUUAAAAUUUUAAAGAUGAUUUAAGCUCUAAAAUAUG
rnacentral:rRNA from 1 species